CACCGCCCGUCACACCAUGAGAGUUGGUUUUACCAGAAGUCGCUGCGCUAACUUCGGAAGCAGGCGCCCAAGGUAUGAUCGAUGAUUGGGGUG
rnacentral:rRNA from 1 species